UACGUAGGGGGCAAGCGUUGUCCGGAAUCAUUGGGCGUAAAGCGCGUGUAGGCGGCUUGGUAAGUCUGCUCUGAAAGCCCGGGGCUCAACCCCGGGAGGCGGGUGGAUACUGUCAAGCUCGAGUCCGGAAGAGGAGUGUGGAAUUCCUGGUGUAGCGGUGAAAUGCGUAGAGAUCGGGAGGAACACCUGUGGCGAAGGCGGCCCCCUGGGCCGGCCCUGACACUGAGACGCGAAGGCGUGGGGAGCGAACGGG
rnacentral:rRNA from 1 species